GAUGAACGCUGGCGGCGGGCCUAACACAUGCAAGUCGAGCGAACGAACGAGGAGUGCGCUUGUCUGCAGUUAGCGGCGGACGGGUGAGGAACAGGAGUCUAACCUGCCGAGAGGACUAAGGUAACGUAGGGAACCCGGAUCCAACAUCGGACAAGAUGUUGAACGGCAGGAUUCAUAAGUGAACGAGGUUCUUGCUGUCACUUAUAGAUAGAUCCGCGCUGCAUUAGCUAGUUGGUAAGGUAACGGCCUACCAAGGCUACGAUGCAUAGCCGACCUGAGAGGGUGAUCAGCCACACUGGAACUGAGACACGGUCCAGACUCCUACGGGAGGCAGCAGUAGGGAAUAUUCCGCAAUGGGCGAAAGCCUGACGGAGCCACGCCGCGUGAGUGAUGAAGGUCUUCGGAUCGUAAAGCUCUGUUAUUAGGGAGGAAGAUAAGUGAAUGUAUCUGUUCACAUCUUGACGGUACCUAAACAGAAAGCCACGGCUAACUUCGUG
rnacentral:rRNA from 1 species